rnacentral:sRNA from 1 species
CCGCCCCGAACUUUCCCCUAUAAGAACCCCCUUCGUACGACCUUUUCUUCUGAUUUCUUUUCUCUUUCUUUCCUUAAUCAAUUCGUAAUCUGUAAUUAGGAUAGUACCAAAUCGUUAAUCGAAGUACGCCCGUUACAAUCUGUUUCAUGUCAAAAAGAACUAUUCAGUUGCUUUUUGAUGGAAUGAGACAAGAUAUAACAGAUAUUGAGAUAGGAGUUCCUCAGGGUUCCCCAGUCUCACCCAUUUUGUUUGCUAUAUUUAUCAAGUUUCUAUUUAUUGAUAGACAAAUGGCAAUUAUGGUGAGAACUCCAAGCUAUGUGGAUGAUUUAGGCCU